rnacentral:rRNA from 1 species
GCGCGAAAAUUCUACAAUGCACGCAAGUGUGAUAGAGGGAUUCAGAGUGCUUCCUGUUUUGCAGGGAGCUUUUCUCAAGUCCAAAUAGCUUGACCCCCUUGCAGGGGGUAUAAGUGUGGAUAGCUUGAGGAAUAAGUGGGGGGUAAGACAGGUGCCAGCCGCCAUUUUGGUCGCUGUCAUUAAACGGUUACCAUAACGGUAAGCGGUAAUACCUGCGCCACGAGUGAUGACCACGUUUAUUGGGCUUAAAGCGUUCGUAGCUGGUUUGGAAAGUCUCUGAUGAAAUCCCAUGGUUGACUAUGGGGCUUGUCAGGGAAACUGCCAGACUUGGGACCGGGAGAGGUCUGGGGUAUUGUAGGGGUAGGGGUUAAACCCUUUUUCCGUGAGAGACAUGCAAAAAGCGUUUACGGAAAAAAGUGACAUUCCUGUAAUCCUUACAAGACCACCUGUGGCGAAGGCGCCAGACUGGAACGGAUCCGACAGUGAGGGACGAAAGCUAGGGGAGCAAAGGGGAUUAGAUACCCCCGUAGUCCUAGCCGUAAACGAUGCCCGUUAGACAUUGGAGCUCUUACGUGGGGCUUCAGAGUCGUAGGGAAACCGUUAAACGGGCCGCCUGGGGAGUACGUUCGCAAGGAUGAAACUUAAGGGAAUUGG